CACGUAUUUAGCCGGGGCUUCUUAGUCAGGUACCGUCAUUUUCUUCCCUGCUGAUAGGGCUUUACAUGCCGAAGCACUCCAUCGCCCACGCGGCGUCGCUGCAUCAGGGUUCCCCCAUUGUGCAAUAUCCCCCACUGCUGCCUCCCGUAGGAGUCUGGGCCGUGUCUCAGUCCCAAUGUGGCCGCCCACCCUCUCAGGCCGGCUACUGAUCGUCGCCUUGGUGGGCCGUUGCCCCGCCAACCAGCUAAUCAGACGCGGGCCCAUCCUGCACCGCCGGAGCUUCCCCCGCCGCCCCAUGCGGGGCUGCGGGCAUAUGCGGUAUUAGCAGCCGUUUCCGGCUGUUGUCCCCCAGUGCAGGGCAGGUUGCCCACGCGUUACUCACCCGUCCGCCACUGGGCAGCGCCGGCUUCCGCUCCGAAAAGCCUCAGCCUGCGCGCCCCGUUCGACUUGCAUGUGUUAGGCACGCCGCCAGCGUUCAUCCUGAGCCAGGAUCAAA
rnacentral:rRNA from 1 species